rnacentral:rRNA from 1 species
GACGUAGGGGGCCAGCGUUGUUCGGAAUUACUGGGUGUAAAGGGUUCGUAGGCGGUGUGGCAAGUCGGGAGUGAAAUUUCUGGGCUCAACUCAGAGACUGCUUCCGAAACUGCUGUGCUUGAGUGUGGGAGAGGCGCGUGGAAUUGCAGGUGUAGCGGUGAAAUGCGUAGAUAUCUGCAGGAACACCCGUGGCGAAAGCGGCGCGCUGGACCACUACUGACGCUGAGGAACGAAAGCUAGGGAGCAAACAGG